GAUCUGAUCUGGAAGAUAUUCAAAAGAUCUUCUGAAGCUGGAGCAGCAGCUUCUCGAUAAAUCUUUGCAGCCUUCUAAUCAAAAAGCCACCACGCCUUGGACAAGCACCAGAUGGACGCCCAACCUCUUGGACGUGAAGAGGGGAGGGAGAAGAGUAGAAGGGACAUAGAGAAGUGGAGAGAAUUCAGGCUUUUGUUGGUUAUUGAGCAGAGUCUCUAAACCCUAGGCGCAGACAGGGUUUAAAUAGACCCUGCUGCGCCAUGCAGUGCCACAUCAUUCGAUCAAUCAAAAAAUUUUAAUUAAUUCUGAAAAAAUUUUGAUUGAUGGAGUGAUG
rnacentral:lncRNA from 1 species